UAGUCCACGCUGUAAACGAUGAUUACUAGAUGUUCGGAUUUCGGUCUGAGUGUCCAAGCGAAAGCGAUAAGUAAUCCACCUGGGGAGUACGUUCGCAAGAAUGAAACUCAAAGGAAUUGACGGGGGCCCGCACAAGCGGUGGAGCAUGUGGUUUAAUUCGAUGAUACGCGAGGAACCUUACCAGGGCUUAAAUGCAUAUUGACAGGUCUAGAGAUAGACUUUCCUUCGGGCAAUUUGCAAGGUGCUGCAUGGUUGUCGUCAGCUCGUGCCGUGAGGUGUCAGGUUAAGUCCUAUAACGAGCGCAACCCCUGUCGUUAGUUGCCAGCGAGUCAUGUCGGGGACUCUAACGAGACUGCCGGUGCAAACCGUGAGGAAGGUGGGGAUGACGUCAAAUCAUCACGGCCCUUACGUCCCGGGCCACACACGUGCUACAAUGGUAGGUACAGAGAGCAGCCACGAUGCAAGUCGGAGCGAAUCUACAAAACCUAUCACAGUUCGGAUC
rnacentral:rRNA from 1 species